rnacentral:lncRNA from 1 species
AUUGCUCCACGUUCGGAUGAAAUGUCAUGCUUAAUUAGAAAUUUGCAUAUCACCAUUGACAAAGCUCUCAUUCAUCAAAUUCUUGAACUUGAAAUGUGUGAUAUCCAUAUCUUUCUUCAUAAAGCUGAUCCGACGUUGGAAGGAUAUAACCCAAGCGAUGCGUAUCAUCGUGUAGCGGGAAAGGAUUUUGAAAACGCUACUAAAAUUAGCACAAAUCAAUUAACCCUACCUUGUAAAUUGCCCAUGUUAUUCUCCUUAGGAAGGGGCAUCAGGACAAAGUGAACUAUUUUGACAUUUUUUUCUCAAUUCAAUUCUUGUCGGUUAGAAAUUAGAUUUCUUGACCAUUACAUUAGGUCUCAUGAAACUUGUACAUUCCAUGCAUCAUGUCAAAGCCAUACCAUAUGGGAUGCUUCUAACAAAAAUUUUCAAAUACUUAUAUGUUUCUUUAAACGAUAAUGCAUUUAUCAAAUUUCAUCCCACCAACACCAUUAACAUCCAAACUCUCAAACAUAUGAAAAUCAUUCAAUCACAUGGUCAACGGGUGGCUUAAACGAAAAGGUUCAACCCCAUCUUGGGACCUUCGACUCUAUCUUUUGAAGAAGAAGAAGAAGAAGAAGAAGAAAAAGAUGUCCCACAAGUUUCAGGUGCUCCUCACCCAUCUGGAAGUGGUUUUGCAUUUACCAAGGAUCAAAAUAAUCUUCUACAUGGCCGAAUUGAUUCUCUUACCUCAUCAGGUGAUGAGCUUGGAGGACUACUUCAUCAACUUCAAACUGAACAGGUCGCAAUAUAGGCAUAGCACGAUGUAAUUCUAGUGCAACUAGCAGCGAUGCAGGCAUAGCUAAAUAACUUCUAUGCUCAUUUUUACGCUUACUUCCUCCUUACCAUCUCCGGAGCCUUAGUUUUGUUCUUUCAUUCUUCAAGUUUCUAUGCUUUUCAUCUUACAUCUUAGUGACA